GACGAACGCUGGCGGCGUGCUUAACACAUGCAAGUCGAACGGAAAGGCCCUGCUUUUGUGGGGUGCUCGAGUGGCGAACGGGUGAGUAACACGUGAGUAACCUGCCCUUGACUUUGGGAUAACUUCAGGAAACUGGGGCUAAUACCGGAUAGGAGCUCCUUCUGCAUGGUGGGGGUUGGAAAGUUUCGGCGGUUGGGGAUGGACUCGCGGCUUAUCAGGUUGUUGGUGGGGUAGUGGCUUACCAAGGCUUUGACGGGUAGCCGGCCUGGGAGGGUGACCGGCCACAUUGGGACUGGGAUACGGCCCAGACUCCUACGGGAGGCAGCAGUGGGGAAUAUUGCACAAUGGGCGGAAGCCUGAUGCAGCAACGCCGCGUGCGGGAUGACGGCCUGCGGGUUGUAAACCGCUGUCGCCUGUGACGAAGCGUGAGUGACGGUAAUGGGUAAAGAAGCACCGGCUAACUACGUG
rnacentral:rRNA from 1 species